UCAAGGUUUAAAGUGUCCUGGCAUGGGAGCGUGCCGCUGUCUGCCUGGCAUGGUACGGCACCGGCACGCUUCCGUGCCGACGUAUGGUACGCUUGCGUGCCGAUGAAUACACAUGACCUCCUACUGACACGCUUUGGCCCGAAUUUAUUUCAAUUUUUUUGGUUCCAAUAAACUCUUAUAAUGUUAUUUUGAAAAUUUUAAUCAAAUAAUUAUGAAUAUUUGUUAUGUAUAGCUUACUAUACUCAUCAAUUAACAUAUUUGUAAACUUUUUUAUAUGUAAAGUACAACUAUAUCUGAUGCAGAAUAAAAAUUUUUACAGGUUAAAAUUUUUAAAAUGCAAAGACAUCUUUCUUUUUUUUUUUUGACAAUAUUACAGUAUUUCUUUUAUAAAAUACAAAAAAAUAAUUUUAAAAAUUAAUGUAAAAAGUAUUUGAAAAAUUAAUUUUUCAAAAAAUUAGUAGAUCUAUCAAAAAAAUUAAGCAAUAAAUUAUAUAACAAAUAAAUUAAAUAAAUUUAAGUAUCAAUUGAUUUAAUAUAGUUUUUAAUUUUAUCAGCAUUUUCAAUCUUUUAGCGCAAAAAUAAAAUUUUUUAUUUGAUGUGCCUCAAAAUUUGUUUAUUGAAUUCGAUUUUGUUCCUCUAAUUUGCCAAAAAUUUUGCGGUGCAACAAAUUUUGAUAAAAUAAUUUAUGAAGAAAAAAAGGAUGUAUGUGGCAGAAGCGGAGGGCUUGGACAAAUCUUUUGUCCGUAUAUUGAUUAAACAAAAAAAAUUAAAUUAUAAUUUUUUUGACUUACCUAAUAAGUAAAUUUUUAAUUUGCAAUAUUUUUUGGGUGUGGGGUACCCAAAAUGCUUCGGAUACUCCAAAGAACAAAACGAAAAGAAAAAAGAAAGCAAAAAAAAAAAAUAAAAUAGCAGUGCCGGCACUACAUUGUGCUGUGGCACACUGCGGCGUGCCGCUCUGUCUCGUGCGGUACAGCGUCACGUGCCGCAGCACGGAGGGAGAGUCCGAGACCCCCCCCGUAUCGUGCCCCCUUCCGCCCCAUGCCGUACGGCACGGGGCGGCACUUUAAACCCUGGUUUCAAUAUAUACCAAUUCUAUUAUAGAGGGGGCUAAAACAAGACAAUGAAGAAAGAGAUAUACCAGGUUAUAUUUAGGUGAGCGCCAAUAAAAUCCUUGUAAAAAUAUCGUAAACAGCCUGCAAGCAGCCAAAACAUACACAAUAAGCGCAUUCAUGCCCAUCCAUUGGAACAGAACAAAUGGUUUCCUGAACCCAGUGACAUCAACCUGCAUAGAUCAUAAAGCUUAACAGUGGGAUAGAACACAUUAACUGCAUUUACAAAUGAAUUACUGCAGGGCCUUGAAAAUUCUAGAACAAGCCAACCCAAUGGCGUGAGCAGAGGCAUUCUAGAGACCUUGAACAAACUAACAAAGAAUUCACAAAACUUGGCAUGACAUGAAGUUUAAUGAGUUCAAACAUAAAGCAGUCAAAAAUUGACACUUAUCGAAAUGGACUAAAUGUAAUAUUUGAUCACAGGUGAAAAAAGGAACAUUGAAUGUUCACAAGAAUACUCAAACUGCUCAACCUUAAACUUGAUCAGAAACUCUACUUCACCUCAUUGCGAUCUUUCAAAUGAGAAAUUCUGGGAAUAAAUAUAAAACUACCUAUAAAAGAGUAGUAAACCACAAUAAUUAAUUAAUAUGCAAUAUAAAAAUACUACAGGUUAUGAUUGCUUGGAUAGAUAAUUAUCUGAUAUCAUGCAUAAAUGAAAAGAAUAUCAACUAACCACAUAAUACAUCAGAGUGAGGAGAAAGCCAGAUACGCCUGCUGUAAGAAACAUGUAGCUCAUAGUGUACAAUGGCUUGCUGAAAGGCAUACCUGGAAAAAAAGAUGAAAUAAAUGUGACUAAACAAAAGAGAAGAGCAAGUAAAUUAGGAAACAACUGAGUAAAUGUGACUAAAUAUAGAGUUGACAUAAUCUUCACUAAAUUAUAUUACCUGACAACCAUACUAUGAAUCCACAAACAAGAAGUGCCAAGGAAGUUAAGGACCAUAGAAUCAUUCUCUGGCCAUUGUUCUACAGAAGAAAAAACUAAUAAUUAGCAACUGAAUCAACAAAGAGCAAAGUUUGAUGGAAGGUGCAACCAAAAUUAUAGAUUGUACCUUAAAGUGCACGAUUAUAUGCCCAAAAUGCAAGCCAACAAAGCAUGUCACUGCUGCCAUUAGAGUACUACAUGUAAAUCAAGCAAGAAAAACUAAUUAGUGUCCACUAGUCUAAAAUAUUAAGAAACCAACCAUCUUGAUGACCAAAACAAUGCAAAAUCUUGAAAAAAGCCCAAAAAGAGGGAAAACAUCCAGAAAUUUAAUUUAUCACAAUCUUAAUCCAUGUUAGCAAAUUAAUUGUUGGAAAUUCCAAUAAAAUAUUCACAAAUUUUAAACUCAAAUCGUACAUAGAAAGCCAACGACAACCUAAGACGAUAAUGUAACAUCAUCAACUGGCCCCACUAAAUCAAUCUAAAUGGUCUGGUGAAGUUUUUAUCUUAUGAUCUAGAAGCAUACAGAUCUGACAAACUUUCGUCAAUCAUCAGUACCAUUACAAAAUUUAAAAGAGAAUCUAUUACUUUAAUUUACACUUGAAAUGGUUUAUGAUAAACUUUAGAAUGUAGCUCGGCCUGCACCCCUCACAUUAUCUGCUUUUGUACAGGUAAUAAACUUUUCACAUCAACUUUUGGCAUCUAGGUGCUUUACCUCUGUAAGAUCAUCUCCAAAAAUGUUUUUUUUUAGAGGUCUUCAUUUCAAAAUUAUAAAUAAGGCCCUAGUUCAGCCAGAAGGAUAUCACUUCAAAUUCAUGCACAUGGCUACACACAUAAAAGACAUACUAUGCAGUAAAGCAAACAAGCAGAGUAAAAUUACUAACUUUCUGAUUUCAGGAUUCGUAAAAUUGACGGAAGCGAACAGAAUUCACAGAUGAGAGAGAAUCACCUUAAUAGACCCUCAGGAUCAAAUGGAGCCAAGCACCAAUUAGGUGAAUUUGGUGGGAGGGGACCAUAAUCAGGGGAGUUCACACUGCAUUCCUGUGAGAUGACAUAAUUUAUUUCCCAUUAGGAGUAAAAGACAAAGGUAAUAAGAGAAAUAAACAAUAAAUUGACAAUUCAACUAAAGAACCUUAGUCCUUUUAUAAACUGGGCGCUGGUAAAGGUGGUUUUCACCAAGAAAAAGUCGAUCUACCAAUCCAACAACAUUGCAAGGAGGUCCCAGGCUACCUCUCACUCCACAUUGGACCUGCCAAUUAUGAAAACAUUUGCGGACAAACAGUGAGUAGCCAGUAAACAAGUUCUUUCCCAUAACCGCUAUAAAUACGGGUAAAAUCAAGGGCCCGAUCAAUCAAAGGGCCCCCAUCAGUUGGAGCACCAAGUCACUCAUCUGAAACAGAUCAUGCUGUUUGGGAUGAAAUAGCAUUUUCGUACGAUUAAAGAAGAAUCUAUACUAGGUUAAUGUAUUACACAAAUGACAGGUUUCAACAGUUGCUCUUAGAAAGGCGAAAUUUUGCUUCCAAAUAUCAAGCUCCCACUGUAGCUACACCACAGAUCUUUAGCUGGAACAUGAAAAGAUAAUGCUAAAAUACAGCCGGUAAACAGUUUGCUCAACUUUAGCCAAGCCCUUUUAAGUUUGAACAAUAAGCUGAUAGAUGCUCAAAGAAGCAAAGCGACAAACAAGAUAUAGAAGUACAUGACUACUGAAAAUGGCCCUAAUUAGAUGAUCUAAGUAAAUAAAACACAGAAGGGACCAUGAAGUAUUAAGUUAGGACCAAAGGAAAAAUCUAGGGAUAUUGAAUGUGCUAUAAAGGACAAGAAAUGAAAAUCUGCAACACCAAGUAUGGUUUUUUCCCAAAUAAUGGUUGUUCAUUAAAUAUUGGAGCUUUAGAAAGCGCACCACAUGGAGUAUCAUCCUAUCAUAACAUAUAUUGGCUUGUGGCAUGCAGGAUAAUCAAUGAAUUGACAAUUGGUGCAUGCCAAACCAAAAAAAAUAGUUAAGGCAAGAAAAGAAAUAACAUCAAAAUGUGAUUGACAACUUUGUGAUGUUCAAUAAUCCAAAAGCUUGAUAGCUGAUAGCUAAUUAUAAAUUCUUAAUUCUCGGAUAAUAAAGACCUUAAACUAAAUUUACUAAUCCAAGACUCCAAGUAUUGAUGAUUCAGAUUAUUUGUGCAUAACAACCAACAUAGUGGAAACAUUAAUUUACUACGCGAUGAAAAAGAUACUUCCCAAUUCCCCAUAGAAGGAAUUAUGACUCUGUAAUGCUUAAUAUGGAUCUAAUGUGCCACAGUAUCACCUUGAAAUCAAACGACACAUGCCCUUGGUAAAUAAUCUGACCCUUACAUGGUUGGCAUGCCUCUUCCCAGCAAAGAUAUUUCAGUGAAAUUACUUACACAGGCAAGUUUACUAGUUACAGAAUACAACUUCACUUAAGAACCAAUCACUAGAUAGUAAGAGUCAGUUAUGAACUUACUGUUUCAAUGCUGAUCUGAUAAUUUGGGCUUGAAGAGGUAGAAUUUCUGCUUGAAAGUUCAAACUCCCAGCUAGGAACAUAGAGACCAAAAAGCAAGCCAACAUAUAGUGCAGAAAGUAGUAUGGUGGCGAUCCUUCAGGUGAAUAGCAGAUAUUAGAUUAAAUCCAGUUACUUCAACAUCAAAAACAGUGGAUACAUGAAUCUACUUUACACAUGAUGCAGAGGAAUCAUUUACUAAGCACGAAAUGGAAGGGAUAUAUUGCAAGGUAUCUUUUGGUCAGGCAAACUUGGGUUUGAAAUGGACACUAGAAUGAUUCAGUCCCAUUUUGACCUUUUGGUUAGAGGAGUCGUUUUCCCAUUACCAUUCCUUGGUGGAACAGGCCUCAUAUCUUCAAUCCAGCUAAGGAGAGGGGAGUGAAGUCUCAAUUCAAAGUAAAAUAUGAAUCACUAAUUCCAAUUACUAUUCCAGUUGACCAAAUGCACAAAUGGAACCGGUCAUUAUCAUUCAGAUUCCUUUUCUGAUUCUGUUUCCAAUCGUGAACCAAACAUACUCUAAAUGCUGUUAAAACUUUGCAGUACAAACCAUUGAAACUUGAGAGUUGUCAAUAUGACUGACCAUUCAGUGUAGUAUUUCCUCACAAAUGAUGCAGGAGAAUCCACUGUGAUGUCACUGAUGAGCCAAAUCUCUGACAUUGCUGCUAAAAAAUAUCCAAUGGAUAUCCUCUAAGAUAUGUAAAAGCACAAUCAGAUGACAAGAAAUUACUAAAUAAACAACACGAGAAACAACAAUAGUUCCAAUUUCCAGAUGCUAUUUGAACGCUAAAGACAACUUUGAAGAAUAGCAGUCCUAAAAGGAACAAAUUCAGCUUUUCAAACUUCAAAUAUAAAGUGCGCAUUGUAUUUUAAAGAAUAUUUUCUCACAAUGGGCUUUGUCCAGCAAAGAAAACCAUCAGAUAAAUAGACCUACAACUAAGACAAAAUGCAUCACCGAAUCAAAAUAUAAGCACCACGCAUGGCAUCUCACAAGUGUGAGCAAUUUUCAGCUAAAAGAACUAGCAUACAAUGUUCUUUUGAUCAUUAUUUUUCAUGAAAGCACUGCAAGUGGAGGUCAAGAUACAACAAAAACAACAACUUAUAGACAACAACUAUAGGUCACUGGAAUUAUUUUAUAAAUGCGAAUCUAAAAAAGAAGUUCACAUCAUAUAACAAAAAUAUGAUAAGAGUCAUUAGAAUCACAAAAUCAUUAAAUUAGAUCCACAUAACCUGUAAUACACCUAGCCACCGAAUACGGUCUAAAUCGACCCCGUAGGUUAAGUUAUUACGGCCAUGAAAGUAUCCACCUGCAACCAACCAAUAGUAACGACAGAAUCAAGAUUCCAACAAGGUUGUGAAUGAAAAAAAUCUUCGUAUAUAUACAUAUGCAGAAAAGUCGAGCAAAACUAAUAUAGCCAACAAAAUUAAGAUGGAUUCUAUUCUACAUGUAAUUCAUUAAAAUUUUUAAAAAAUGUAAGAAACUCCAACAGAACCUUGCAAAAUUACACCCAAGACAAAGAGCUUAAUUGUCCUCAUUAUGACCUUUUUCGUAGCGGCUGCUUUAUUUGAAGAUUUCUGCAAAGCAUCACCCAACAAAAUGAAGAGUUAACCUACUUAAUUACCAAAGAGAUUUUACAAGUAGUAGAUGAAAAUAACUCUCAGGCUAACUCCGAAAGAGUCGAAACACGAAGGAAUCCACUUGCAGCUCCAAAUAAGAAAGAAAUCAACAUCCCUAAGCCUCAAAAAGAUUGACUAUAGCCGAUAUGUCCCUAACAGAUAUAGGAGAAAGUACAAAUCUUGUGAAUUCAACUGAUUUGGUAAUUCAAAUUGCAAGGAAUUAUAGUAAAAAAAAAGUAUCUUUAUCAUCCUAAUGCUCUAGCUAUGAACUGCCACGUGAUAACGGCGAUAAAUGUGACAACAAAAAGAUAGACAAAAAUGAUUAGUAUUAUACCAAGACAAAUUUGAAAUCUAUAACCUACAACAAGCAGAAAAAUCAAACUUUUACACUAAAUAGUGAAAUGAAGGACUAGCGAGUAAAGUGAAAAAACAAUAAAACCCCAGAAAAAGCAAGAAACGAUCAAUUUCAAAUAUGACCUAGGGCUAAAAGGACCCUAUUUGAUACCUUAAACACAAGCGCGACCGACACGCCGAUGAUGAAGAGAAAGAAGGGCAUCACGAAGUCGGCGAGCGUGACGCCGAACCACGGCGCGUGGUUAAUCGCCGGGAACGCUCCCCCGGCGUCGUCCACCAGGAUCAUCAGCUGCGAAAUCUCGUCAGGGUUAGAGAUCAACGGGGAUUCCGAAUCCUAGGAACAGCAAUUCGUUGGGGAGGAAGGGUUUACCGCGACGGUGAGGCCACGGAAAACGUCGAGGGAGGCGAGGCGCGGGGACGGGGCGGAUUCGGCGGCGGAGGAGGGGGGCUUCAGCGGAGGAGGAGGAGGCGGAGGGGAGAGGAGGGGAUCGGAGAGUGGCCGCCAUGGAUGGAUCUCGUCGAGCUCCGGUAAAGGAGGAAGAGGAGGAGGAGAGGGAGGAGGAGGAGAGGGGGGAGGAGGGGGAGAGGAGAGGAGAGGAGAGCGAUUUUCUUCGUCUUCGUCGUCGUCUUCUUCUUCUUCUACGUGACGGACGCGGACGACGUCGGAGUCCAUUUUUUGGGUUUAUGCGGGCGGAGAGGGAGGACGGAGGAGAUGGAGAGAGAGAGACGGAGAGAGAGAGUUUGAGGAAGAGCGGACGGGGAUGAGUUGACUCCCGACAGUUCGCGCGGGGUUGUGUUCGUGCGGAAGGAAAGGCUGACAGCUGCUGUGUCUCAACUCUCACAUAUAAAAUUCAUAUAAAUAGUUUAUUAAGACAUACCUAAUAAUUUUUUGUACUUUCAUGUUUACUUGCACCUUUUUCUCUUUAUUUUUCUGUGCCCCUCUCUUUUCUAUCCUAGAUCUAUUUAUCUCUCUCUUCUCCCUAGGUCUCUCUCUCUCUCUCUUCUCCUCUAUCUCUCUCUUCUCCCCUUUCUCUGCCGCUCUCUCCUCUCUGUACCUCUGUUCCAACGCCUCUCUCUCUCCUAUGCCCUUUCUCUCUCAAACCUCUAAUGCCUCGCUAAUGAGUGCCCUAUCCUCCUACCUCGAGGCCUCUCUCGAUCGCUCCUUCGUUCGAUUCGCUCGCAGAUGGAAUGAGUCCAUCUAUUGGGCGGUUGCCGUUCCUCUCGAUCGCUCCGUCGGGCGAUUCGGUCGCGGGUGGCCUCGCUGAUGAGUGCCCUAUCCUCCUACCUCGAGCCUUUCUGGAUCGCUCCUUCGCUCGAUUCGCUCGCAGAUGGGAUGAACCCGUCCAUUAAUUGGGCGGUUGCCGUUUCUCUCGAUCGCUCCGUCGGGCGAUUCGGCCGCGGGUGGGAUAAGCCCGCCUAUUGGACGGUUCUUCCUGAGCCUAAAUCUACCCUACUUCGAUGGUUUUUGCUGGUUCUUUACAGAUCUUAUAAGAUUUUUUAUAGGUUGUUUAUAGAUCUGGUGAGAUUUUUUUUCUCUAUCUCUAUCUAUAUUUAUUAUUUUCCCUCUCUUGAUAUAUGGAUUGAUCUGGUGACCGUUUCAAAAAAUUUGUACUCAUUAUUUUUGAUUUUUUCUUUAUGUAUGGAUUUUCGAUUUUUUUCUUUCUAUGUGGAUUGUUUUUUAUACGUUGAUAAUUCAAAAAAAAAAAAACUUCUUUCUUCUCCAAUUUGUUUUACUAUGUGACUCUUAUAUCAUGGGUUAAACCUAGCCUACUGCUAGGGUUUUUACAGAUUUUUAUUCAUUGUUUUCUAGAUAUUUUUCCCUCUCUUGAUAUAUGGAUGGAUAUGGUGACAGUUUCAAAAGAUUUGUAUUCAAUUGUUUUCGAUUUUUGCAAUCUGUGUUGAUUUUUUUUUAAAAAAAUACUUCUUUGUUCAUCAAUUUGUUUUACUAUGUGACUCUUAUAUGUUGCCCUAAACCUAGCCUACUGCUAUGGUUUUUGCAGGUUUUUACAGAUCUCUACUCAUUUCCCGAUUUUUAUAUAAAAUAAAAUAUCAAUAAUAUAUAAUAUAAACCUGCCCCUAUACAAAUAGGCACUCUGG
rnacentral:lncRNA from 1 species